GGGCUGUGGAUCCUGCCUCCCUGUCACAUGGGUUCAGUGGGAAUUUUAUUAGGCACGCCUGGCACAGUUCAGUUCCUUUAGUGGUCUGUGAAUGACACACAGCACACUAGCGCAAAGGCAAGAAUAGUGUAAAUCUUUCCUCCUGAAGAGAAGGACUCCUUGGGCGGCAAAAUGUCAGACAGAAGCCCCUUUGAAACCGACAUGUUAACCCUUACCCGGUUUGUCAUGGAAAAGGGAAGGCAAGCGAAGGGUACUGGAGAACUAACCCAGCUCCUGAAUUCCAUUUUGACAGCUAUAAAAGCCAUCUCCUCUGCUGUCAGGAAAGCAGGCAUCGCUCAUAUGUAAGUAACGCUCCUUUUAUGUGUGAUAGAAAAUGUGUGGCGUAAACACUACAUUAUUCCUUACUAAUGGGGGUAAAAAAAAAAAAAGUGUUGUAUUGUUCUGGACAUGCUAAGUUCCUCUGGGUGCUUUAGUCUUAGGGAUUGACUCUUAAAAGAACACUCCAAGAACCAUAACC